rnacentral:rRNA from 1 species
UACGAAGGGGGCGAGCGUUGUUCGGAGUUACUGGGCGUAAAGGGCGCGUAGGCGGCGAUCCAAGUUAGGCGUGAAAGCCCCGGGCUUAACCUGGGAAUUGCGCUUAAGACUGGACUGCUUGAGUGCGGGAGAGGUGAGUGGAAUUCCCAGUGUAGAGGUGAAAUUCGUAGAUAUUGGGAAGAACACCAGUGGCGAAGGCGAGUCUCUGGACAUUUCCUGACGCUGAGGCACGAAAGCCAGGGGAGCAAACGGG